rnacentral:rRNA from 1 species
CCCGCUGAACUUAAGCAUAUCAAUAAGCGGAGGAAAAGAAACUAACAAGGAUUCCCUUAGUAACGGCGAGUGAAGAGGGAACAGCUCAAAUUUGAAAUCUGAUGGCCUACGGCUAUCCGAGUUGUAAUCUAGAGAAGUGUUUUCCGCGCUGGACCGUGUACAAGUCCUUUGGAACAAGGCGUCAUAGAGGGUGAGAAUCCCGUCUACGACACGGACUACCAGUGCUUUGUGAUACACUCUCAACGAGUCGAGUUGUUUGGGAAUGCAGCUCAAAAUGGGUGGUAAAUUCCAUCUAAAGCUAAAUACAGGCGAAAGACCGAUAGCGAACAAGUACCGUGAGGGAAAGAUGAAAAGCACUUUGGAAAGAGAGUUAAACAGUACGUGAAAUUGUUAAAAGGGAAACGAUUGAAGUCAGUCGCGUCUACUUGGACUCAGCCUUGCCUUGGCUUGGUGCAUUUCCUUGUGGACGGGCCAGUGUUCAUGUUGGUUGCUGGAAAAAGUGUAGGGGAAUGUGGCUCUUUCGGGAGUGUUAUAGCCCCUGUUCAUAUACAGUGACUGAUAUGGAGUGGUACAGCAUGCUUCGGCGGUGCUUGUGCUGGCAUAAUGGCUUUAAACGACCCGUCUUGAAACACGG